AUUGAACGCUGGCGGCAGGCUUAACACAUGCAAGUCGAGCGGAGAUGAGGUGCUUGCACCUUAUCUUAGCGGCGGACGGGUGAGUAAUGCUUAGGAAUCUGCCUAUUAGUGGGGGACAACAUUCCGAAAGGAAUGCUAAUACCGCAUACGUCCUACGGGAGAAAGCAGGGGAUCUUCGGACCUUGCGCUAAUAGAUGAGCCUAAGUCGGAUUAGCUAGUUGGUGGGGUAAAGGCCUACCAAGGCGACGAUCUGUAGCGGGUCUGAGAGGAUGAUCCGCCACACUGGGACUGAGACACGGCCCAGACUCCUACGGGAGGCAGCAGUGGGGAAUAUUGGCCAAUGGGGGAACCCUGAUCCAGCCAUGCCGCGUGUGUGAAGAAGGCCUUAUGGUUGUAAAGCACUUUAAGCGAGGAGGAGGCUACUGAGACUAAUACUCUUGGAUAGUGGACGUUACUCGCAGAAUAAGCACCGGCUAACUCUGUGCCAGCCGCCGCAGUAAGAC
rnacentral:rRNA from 1 species